CGACGGCUCCUCGGCCACUAGACCUGCCAGUGAUUAGACUGCCGGUGAGCUCCAGCAGACUUGCUGUUGGCAGGCCUUUCCACCACGCGCUUUCUGCCUCGGACCCCGCUGACCACGGACUGAACCCUCUGACACCGCAAGUCAAACCUCGCCUGCUGUGAGGGGCAGGUGUGGGGUAUUUCACCACAGACAGGAAGGUGACUAACACACCCGCCACGGGCUCCGCCUCGGAGUCUCCCCCAGGCUUCAGCCAGGCGAUGCCGCCCCUUCAUGGGGCUUCAGGCACAGCACUCCCUGUGAGUCACCUCUGAGAGAGGCAGGAGCUGCAGUUCCAUCUCUAGCAGCGGGAUGGGAAUCAUUAUACGCGUCUCACAGAUGCAGAAAUGAACUGACUCGGUCAGGCUCCCUAAAAACCUGAGGCAUAACCCCAGCUGUGCCGCCUCACCGCCAGGCCUCUGCCUCCUGGGAGCGGCGCACACGUGCGCCCAUGACCUCAGAGAGUCUGGCGGCCCGGGCUCAGGGUGAGGCAGGUGUGUCUCGCCUGAGCCACCCGCUGCUGCA